GUGGCGGCCCCGGACCCUCGGGCUGGCUCCCCGGCGUGGUCAGGCGUGGCGGGCCCCGGUCCCUCGGGCUGGCUCCCCGGGUGGUCCCGCUUGGCGGCCCCGGACCCUCGGCCUGGCUCCCCGGCGUGGUCCCGCAUGGCGGCCCCGGACCCUCGGCCUGGCUCCCCGGCGUGGUCCCGCAUGGCGGCCCCGGACCCUCGGCCUGGCUCCCCGGCGUGGUCCCGCAUGGCGGCCCCGGACCCUCGGCCUGGCUCCCCGGCGUGGUCCCGCAUGGCGGCCCCGGACCCUCGGCCUGGCUCCCCGGCGUGGUCCCGCAUGGCGGCCCCGGACUCCCGUACCUGCACACAAUAAUCAGGGCCGAUCCAUAUGGGUACGUGUGGGCCCUGUCUCCACCUGUCCCCUCUGACACGUCUUGUGUCACCCCCUGCACCGCGCAGGGAGAUUGUCCCAGAGCCUCCGGCGACUGUUCCAGGCACCCCAGGCUGGUGCCUUCUGGGACUAUGCAGCCCCUCUCGCUGCACGGCCCUGGUGCCAAGGGGGGGGCAUUGCCAGACCAUCCGGCUAGCCCCUUCUGCGUCCGUUGGGACAAGCAGGCCCUCUUCCUGCCUGUCCCAGCUGGGUCCUCAUGCCUACCUGGGGGCUCUAUGGCGCUCCACCCCUCUGGAGGCAGACGCAGGCCCAUGCCUGGCCCGCCCUCCUCACUGGCUACCGGAGGACCCAGCUCCAUCGCUUCCCCACCUCCCCUCCCCUCAGGAGGAGUCCCCAACCCGAACUGCACCCCCCCAAAAAAUUCUUUGGGGGAGCACCCCCCCCGGCUGGACUUCGGGGUACCUUGGGGCUUGUCCACCUCGCCUUGGACCGGUGCAGUCAGGUUGGGAACUCCCUCCCUGGGGUUCGGCUCUGCUGCUGGGUCACCAUCUGGUGGACACAAAGAGGGGAAGUGGGGGCGACAUACGGACACAUAUGCCACGCACACACACACAGACAGAGACAGACAGAAGAGAGGGUCGUCUAGUUCCCUCUCUGAGCACUCCGGGACCUCCUCAGGGGGCACAGCCAGGAUCUCGGGAGGCGCGACCUUCUCGUCGCCCGCCAGUGCUUGGUCUUCUUGCCCUGGAUCCUGACUGGCGCUGGAUGUGGUGGAGGGGCAGAGUUCGAUCCCUGGCUCAGGCUCUGGCCGAUCAAACUCCGCCCUCAGUCUCUGCUGGAAGUCCCGAAAACUGCUGUCUGUCUCUCCCUGCUGCCAGAGGGCUGCGCUC
rnacentral:lncRNA from 1 species